GGGAGGAGAGGCAGCCACUAAGCAGGAGAGACCUGCAGCUUCUCAGAUGGCCUCCCUGUGGUGGCUGGGUCCUAGUGGGUCCACCUGACAUCUUGCCUUUAAUUUCCUACAGCUGCCGACAAAGCGCAAUAAAGCCGGUGACCUCAGAUACAGAGUUUAUCCUCUCACCAUCCCGGAGGCCAGAAAUGCCAGACCAAGGUGCCGGUGGGCCGUGCUCCCUCAGGAGGCCUUGGCGAGGCUCCCUCUUGGGGCCCCAGGUGUUCCUGGGCUUGUGGCUACAUUGCUCCCAUCCCUGCCUCAGUUGUCACAUUCUCCCCAGGUGCCUGUGUCUUCUAACAAGGACAUCAGCCAUUGGAUGAAGCCACCUUAAAUCCAGGAUGACUUCAUCGUAACUUACUGACAUCAGCAAAGACCCUAUUUCCAAAUACGGUCACAUUCACAGCUGCAGCUGGUUAGGACUUGAACAUGUAUUUUGGGGGGACACAAUUCCACCCACAGCAAUCCCCCUUGGUCCCCACUCAGCCCAGGUGAGAGCCAACCGGCACCUGCACAGCUGAAGCCAUGGUCCCCACCCCACCUUUGGUCCCCACAUCACGUGGAAAGCUCACGUGCAGGGGCUCUGCUGUCCAUGAACUCUCCUCACCUAGUCCUCGCCACAACUCCAGGCCCCAACGCAAAAGCAUGGCAGGUCUGCCUGGCCCAGAAGCCCCCUGUCCCCAACAUUGUUCUGCCAGCCCCAGGGAGGGCUUCCUGAUGUGCCACCAGGGUCCUUCGGCCUGGCAGGCUGAAGCCGGGGCCGGCUGUCACUGCCGCUGUCCUGGAUAGCCUCGUGGGCCUCCCCUGUGGUAAGCCAGGGGCUGUCUCGUUGCCCAGUAAGCCCUGGCUGCCCUCCCCUCCACAGGCUGGGCAGGCAACAGAAAAGCAGACUUCAGGAGCAAAAGGCGGAGGCCCCAGACCCCAGCUCUCCCAGAGCAGAAUGGAGCAGAAGGGACGGGCCGGUCCUUUAUCCCCUGGAGCCAGGCUUCCUGCCUCAGAAAUGCUUGGGGCUGCCCUCACACCACGCUGGGCAGCUUCAGGAGACACCGUGUGAUCACCUGGUGCUGGGGAACUCGCAGGCAUCAGCCCCUCCACUCCUCCCCAUUGGGGAAAGGGAGGAGAUGGGGCCCAAGGCAAGGGACCCAGGACAGGGCUUUGCAGGAGCACCCAAGCUUCAUGGGGCGAUUUCAUCAGUCACAUAGGAAUGCCAGCUGCGACGCCCACACACUGGAGACCCAGCAAACGAAGCAGGCCCGGACACUGGCAUGGAAUUCUGACACAUCAGGGUACAACCACCAAAUUGGAAAGGUCAUAAAAUAUUAAAGCUGUUGAUGGAG
rnacentral:lncRNA from 1 species